UGCUGGGAAGUCCUGAGCAGCAAAGUCUGCUCCUGCUUCCCAGAGUGGUUAACAUGGUUUAAUAUCAUGCUGUGAUAUUAAAUUGUAUUGACUUCAAGAGCUGUAAAAAUUGUUUAUAACAGAACUACAGAAUGGUUUGGGCUGGAAGGUACCUUAAGGACAAUCCAGUUCCAACCCUGUGCCAUGGGCAGGGACACUUUCCACUAUCCCAGGCUGCU